ensembl:lncRNA MIR663AHG MIR663A host gene
GAGGCCGAGCGGUGGUGUGUCGUUCCCACCCCCAGCGCCCCCUCCUCCGGUCGGCGCCUCGGUGUCCGCGCGUGGGUCCUGAGGGAGCUCGUCGGUGUGGGGUUCGAGGCGGUUGAGUGAGACGAGACGCGCCCCUCCCACGCGGGGAAGGGCGCCCGCCUGGUCCGGCGAGCGCACGUCCGGUGCUCCCCUCUGGCGGACGGAAUGAAGUUGAUAAUAGUGAGACCUUGUUGGUACAAGACUAUGUAACAUAACCUGCGCUUCUCAACAAAGAAUUGCUUUUCUGACUUCUGCACUCAAUAGCAAGACAAAUCUCUCCUCUGCCUUCUCCUUAUCAGACUACUCAACAUGAAGGCAAUAAGAAUGAAGACCUCUAUGUAUAAUAAUUGACUUCCACUUAAUAAAUAAGGUUACUUGGUACACUGGUCGACAAAACCUUGAAAUGUUGAUGUUUAAGGGCUGUUGAUUGCUGGCAGCAAAGAAGUCCAACUGUGCUGGUACCCGAGAUAGCGUCUCCACAUUUUCUUCCAGGAUCAUCACCUUUGUUCUAAAUAGCUCCCACAUAGUGUGAACAGAAGUCAUAUGUUUUAGAUUUUCUGCCUUGGCACCCAGGAAACCAGUAUGAUUGAGUAAACAUAUUAAACUUCCUCUGCAUUUCCAGCCUGAACAGAUGUUGAGUACAAGCUGAUCCACCUACGUUCAACCUGAGAGAGUCCACAUCCACAGACUGUUUCAUUUCCCUUUUUCAAUUUACAUAGAAGCAUAGAUUCUUGCUGGCAUAUACAAAUGCGCCAUUUAAGGCAAUCAAAAAUGGUUCCACAUCUCAUCUGAUUUCCACAAUUGUUGCUGUAACGAUGGACUACUGAGGAGAGAGACAAUUUCUCUGGCACAUCUUCCCACAUUUUAGCAACAUGUUCAUGGAGAGCCAAUAUUCAGUAAUUACAGCCCAAUUCCUCACAAUUUCACAAUUCGCUAACAAUAUGCAUUUUCACAAUGUAAAGCUGAUUUUCCUUUAACCAAAUCAAACAUGAAAAGAUAGCUGCAUGCAAUGGGCAAUCUAGAUCAUUAGAAGAUUGAUGUAAAAUUAGAGGACACUGAGACUGGAAUAGAUUGCAAACUUCAGGGAGCUCAGAAAACUUGUAAACUCUACAUUUUGAGGAAAUAUGUUGUCGAUGCUUUUGCAACUCUAUGCAGUAACUUAACAAAUAAAGCCUUAAAGUAACUUA